CAAGGCUCGCUCCUUGGGCUGUUUUAUUUUGACUGCUCCGAUGGAAUUGAAGGCGCACCACAUAUCUUUUUUUUCAUACCUUACGGAGGUAAAUGCAAUGUCUGAAAGAAUUAUCGGCACAGUCAAAUGGUUCAACGGGAGCAAGGGCUAUGGUUUCCUUUCCCAGCCUGAUGGCGCAGAUGUUUUUGUGCACUUCUCUGCGAUCCAAUCUGACGGUUACCGCACGCUCCAGGAAGGCCAGAAGGUGGAGUUCUCCAUCGAGAAAGGCCCUAAAGGACUGCAGGCUGCCAACGUCAUCCCUAUGUAAUUGAAUCUUUAACUAUGUCACAAAGACCUGCCUGUCACAAGGCAGGUUUUUGAUU
rnacentral:sRNA from 1 species